GAGGCUGUAGCUCAGUGGUAGAGUGCUUGCUUUGCAAACAUGAGGCACUGGGUUCAAUCCUCAGCACCACA
rnacentral:tRNA from 1 species